rnacentral:rRNA from 1 species
CUAACACAUGCAAGUCGAACGGUAACAGGAAGCAGCUUGCUGCUUCGCUGACGAGUGGCGGACGGGUGAGUAAUGUCUGGGAAACUGCCUGAUGGAGGGGGAUAACUACUGGAAACGGUGGCUAAUACCGCAUAACGUCGCAAGACCAAAGAGGGGGACCUUCGGGCCUCUUGCCAUCAGAUGUGCCCAGAUGGGAUUAGCUAGUUGGUGAGGUAACGGCUCACCAAGGCGACGAUCCCUAGCUGGUCUGAGAGGAUGACCAGCCACACUGGAACUGAGACACGGUCCAGACUCCUACGGGAGGCAGCAGUGGGGAAUAUUGCACAAUGGGCGCAAGCCUGAUGCAGCCAUGCCGCGUGUAUGAAGAAGGCCUUCGGGUUGUAAAGUACUUUCAGCGGGGAGGAAGGUGUUGUGGUUAAUAACCGCAGCAAUUGACGUUACCCGCAGAAGAAGCACCGGCUAACUCCGUGCCAGCAGCCGCGGUAAUACGGAGGGUGCAAGCGUUAAUCGGAAUUACUGGGCGUAAAGCGCACGCAGGCGGUCUGUCAAGUCGGAUGUGAAAUCCCCGGGCUCAACCUGGGAACUGCAUUCGAAACUGGCAGGCUUGAGUCUUGUAGAGGGGGGUAGAAUUCCAGGUGUAGCGGUGAAAUGCGUAGAGAUCUGGAGGAAUACCGGUGGCGAAGGCGGCCCCCUGGACAAAGACUGACGCUCAGGUGCGAAAGCGUGGGGAGCAAACAGGAUUAGAUACCCUGGUAGUCCACGCCGUAAACGAUGUCUACUUGGAGGUUGUGCCCUUGAGGCGUGGCUUCCGGAGCUAACGCGUUAAGUAGACCGCCUGGGGAGUACGGCCGCAAGGUUAAAACUCAAAUGAAUUGACGGGGGCCCGCACAAGCGGUGGAGCAUGUGGUUUAAUUCGAUGCAACGCGAAGAACCUUACCUGGUCUUGACAUCCACAGAACUUUCCAGAGAUGGAUUGGUGCCUUCGGGAACUGUGAGACAGGUGCUGCAUGGCUGUCGUCAGCUCGUGUUGUGAAAUGUUGGGUUAAGUCCCGCAACGAGCGCAAC